CGGGGCCUUGGCCCAGGGAGAAAAGCGCUGUUCCGCGUGGAAACGUGAGGAACGUUUACAGCUACUGUAAGAGGGGAGCUGAAGGGUGACCGUCAAGGGCAGCGUGUGCCCCACCUCGGGAAGCUGGCCAGAGAGGAGCCCCGGGGCCCACGGGGGCAUCCUUUACUCAAAGUCCGGGCUCACCCAGGAACAGGACCAGAGACAUUCCCGUACAUCCCAGAACUUUCCGGGGCCUCGUCGGUCUUAUCUCCAAGUACCUGCCUCCCACCCUGAGGGCCAAAGACACUGGACAACCCCCCCCCCCCCACUCUCCUCCCCCGCUCAGCAGGAGCAGAGGAAGACCACUAGGCUCAUCCAUCUGGCUCCUGGUUCUCAUCAGCCCCAGGCUAUGGGACAGUGCCUUAUCUCGGGCUUCUGUCGUGACGGGCCCUCUCCCAGGCUGUCACGGUGGUCUUUGCUUCCUUGGGCCUGCUGGUAUAACAAAUGAUGUUACAGAUGAAGGAACGGCCUGCACAUGGCUGAAAUACAAAUGGGUAAGCAAUUUUGUUCCACUCCAAACUCCACGGACGAA